rnacentral:rRNA from 1 species
CGUCAGUAACGGCGAGUGAAGACGGAGUAGCCCAAGGUUCAAUCCUGGAUCUCUUCGAGGUCAGGAGAUUUAACCUAAGGACUUAUGGACCUCGCUAUUGUACCUGUUAAUUCCGUUUGGAAUUUCGAGUUAUAGAAGGUGAUAACCCUGUUCGCAGGCUAUCAAUAGCUAGACUAUGCCAUGAGCUCCACGAGUAGGAAUGUCUGAAAUUGCAUUCUGAAUGGGUGAUAAGAUUCAUCCAAGGCUAAAUAUAUGUUAGGAGAUCGAUAGCAUACAAGUACCGUGAGGGAAAGGUGAAAAGAACUUUGAAAAAAGGUUUAAAAGUAUUUGACACCGUUUAUGUGGAAGCGUUUACUUGGACCCCAAAUGAUGACGUUGGCUUAGCUCUAAUUCUUAGAGGAUCAAAGUAGAGUGUUAAGUGCUGAUUAAAAGGCAACUGGCAUUUGAUUAUCAUUGGUUCUCGCUGAGGAAGGUACUCUAAGUCAGCCAGUUACUAACGGGUGAGAUCUGGUGCUUAUAAAAUGUAGGAUGAGGCGUAUCGGUUUACUGGUGGCUCGCUUAUAAUAAUGGGUACUGGGUUUCAUCAAGAUUGCAAAACAUUGGCAACUCACUAUUAGUGGUCGUUAAUUUUGCUAGUAUGGCUUGUUCUGGUCUGUAGGAGGUCUCCGGGUCGCCUGCAGCUUUUUUGAACAUACUGGUUUAAUGUUUCGGCUCUAGUAGCGUCAAUGUACACGU